rnacentral:rRNA from 1 species
AUUGAACGCUGGCGGCAUGCCUUACACAUGCAAGUCGAACGGCCGCGGGCCCUUCGGGGUGCCGGCGCGUUGCGAACGGAUGAGUGAUGCAUCCGAACGUACCCUGGCGAUGGGGAUAACCGGCCUAAAGGCUGGCUAAUACCGCAUGAACUCAGAAGAGCAAACCGGUGGAUCUUCAGGCCUCGCGCUCUCUGCUCUGACGUGGGCCGAUUAGGCUAGUUGGUUGGGUAAAGGCUCACCAAGGCGACGAUCAGUAGCGGGUCUGAGAGGAGGAUCGGCCACACUGGGACUGAGACACGGCCCAGACUCCUACGGGAGGCAGCAGUGGGGAAUCUUGGACAAUGGGCGCAAGCCUGACGCAGCAACGCCGCGUGGGUGAUGAAGGCCUUCGGGUUGUAAAGCCCUUUCGGCGGGGAAGAAAUCGGUCAGGAGAAUAGUCUGGCCGGAUGACGGUACCCGCAGAAGAAGCACCGGCUAACUACGUG